UGCUCGCAAACGAAAAAAAAACCGACUUCAAUUACAUCGACAAGUAAUACAACGUAGAUCGACGAAAAAAUAGUCAAGCAACCACGCGUUAUCAAAGAUUACUCAAAAAGUAGUUAUCAGAUCUCGAUAAAAUUUAUAUGUGACCACAUGAUAAACAUCAGCUUUCGAUUAAAUUAAAAAUUAUCAAAAUCGGUACACCCAGUAAAAAUUUAUUACGGAUUUUCGAGAGUUUCCCUCGAUUCCUCUGGGAUCCCAUCAUCAGAUCCUAGUUUCCUUAUCACGGUACCAAACUAGGGAUAUCCCCUUUCCAACAAAAAAAGAAUUAUUAAAAUCGGUACAUCCAGUAGAAAGUUAUGCGGUAUAAUAUAACUAUAAUACAACGUAGGUCGACGAAAAAAGCGUCAAGUAAAAACGCAUUAUUAGAUAUAACUCGAAAAGUAGUUGUUAGAUCUCAAAUAAAUUUAAAUGGGACCAAUUGGCACACACCACCUUUCGAUUAAAACAAAAUUUGUCGAAAUCGGUCUACCCGGUCAAAAGUUCUGAUGUAACAUACAUAAAA
rnacentral:misc_RNA from 1 species